rnacentral:rRNA from 1 species
AUUGAACGCUGGCGGCAUGCCUUACACAUGCAAGUCGAACGGUAACGGGCCUUCGGGUGCCGACGAGUGGCGAACGGGUGAGUAAUGUAUCGGAACGUACCUUUCAGUGGGGGAUAACGUAGCGAAAGUUACGCUAAUACCGCAUAUUCUGUGCGCAGGAAAGCAGGGGAUCGCAAGACCUUGCGCUGAUUGAGCGGCCGAUAUCAGAUUAGCUAGUUGGUGAGGUAAAGGCUCACCAAGGCGACGAUCUGUAGCGGGUCUGAGAGGAUGAUCCGCCAAACUGGAACCGAGACAUGGUCCAGACUCCUACGGGAGGCAGCAGUGGGGAAUUUUGGACAAUGGGGGCAACCCUGAUCCAGCCAGGCCGCGUGAGUGAAGAAGGCCUUCGGGUUGUAAAGCUCUUUCGGCCGGGAAGAAAUCGUAUCAGCUAAUACCUGGUGCGGAUGACGGUACCGGCAUAAGAAGCACCGGCUAACUACGUGCCAGCCCCGCCGUAACAC